GGGGAUGUAGCUCAGUUGGUUAGAGCGCCGGCCUGUCACGUCGGAGGUCGCGGGUUCGAGUCCCGUCGUUCCCGC
rnacentral:tRNA from 1 species